rnacentral:rRNA from 1 species
UCUGCCCGCUGGCGGCGUGCCUAAUACAUGCAAGUCGAGCGAAUAGACGAGGAGCUUGCUCCUCUGACGUUAGCGGCGGACGGGUGAGUAACACGUGGAUAACCUACCUAUAAGACUGGGAUAACUUCGGGAAACCGGAGCUAAUACCGGAUAAUAUAUUGAACCGCAUGGUUCAAUAGUGAAAGACGGUUUUGCUGUCACUUAUAGAUGGAUCCGCGCCGCAUUAGCUAGUUGGUAAGGUAACGGCUUACCAAGGCAACGAUGCGUAGCCGACCUGAGAGGGUGAUCGGCCACACUGGAACUGAGACACGGUCCAGACUCCUACGGGAGGCAGCAGUAGGGAAUCUUCCGCAAUGGGCGAAAGCCUGACGGAGCAACGCCGCGUGAGUGAUGAAGGUCUUCGGAUCGUAAAACUCUGUUAUUAGGGAAGAACAAAUGUGUAAGUAACUAUGCACGUCUUGACGGUACCUAAUCAGAAAGCCACGGCUAACUACGUG